rnacentral:rRNA from 1 species
UGCCGCGUGUGUGAAGAAGGCCUUCGGGUUGUAAAGCACUUUCAGACGUGAGGAAAAGCUAAGUAUUAAUACUAUUUAGCCCUGACGUUAACGUCAGAAGAAGCACCGGCUAACUCCGUGCCAGCAGCCGCGGUAAUACGGAGGGUGCAAGCGUUAAUCGGAAUUACUGGGCGUAAAGCGCGCGUAGGCGGUUAUUUAAGUCAGAUGUGAAAUCCCUGGGCUCAACCUAGGAACUGCAUUUGAUACUGGAUAGCUAGAGUAUGGUAGAGGUGAGUGGAAUUUCAGGUGUAGCGGUGAAAUGCGUAGAGAUCUGAAGGAACAUCAGUGGCGAAGGCGACUCACUGGGCCAUUACUGACGCUGAGGUGCGAAAGCGUGGGUAGCAAACAGGAUUAGAUACCCUGGUAGUCCACGCCCUAAACGAUGUCAACUAGGUGUAUGGAACUUUAUGUUCUGUGUAUCGAAGCUAACGCGAUAAGUUGACCGCCUGGGGAGUACGGCCGCAAGGCUAAAACUCAAAUGAAUUGACGGGGGCCCGCACAAGCGGUGGAGCAUGUGGUUUAAUUCGAUGCAACGCGAAGAACCUUACCUGGUCUUGACAU